rnacentral:lncRNA from 1 species
CAGGACCGGUAUAGGACCGGACUAAACCGAUACGUACCGGGCCAGGCCGCCACCGGUACCGGUACGGCGGACCUUGCUUCCAAUGAUCUAAUAGCUCCUGUGUACAAGGAAAUCUCCCAUGAAAUUUCAUCUUGCAAAUUUUGAUAGUUAAGAUAGAAUUUCAUAAUGAACUCAAUCACAAAUUCAUGAAUUGCACACAUUUUCAAUUCAAAUGUAGAAGCAGCCCACCCAGUGCAAAAGGCCUUUAAGUUUUGCAUCCUAUCUUGAAUCAAUAAUUGCCCAAAUUGUAAUUUGUAAGAUCUUUUCAUCUUCAUUCAAAUGUAAGGCUACCUCCUCCUUAACAAUCAUCAAAUCACCCCAUAUAUAGCCCAUAUCCAUGCCUAAGCACUUAUAACAAGUGUUCCCAAAAUUUCAAAGCAAAUGCCACAUGGCCCCAAAUUUGGAUCUCCUUCCUAGAUUUUUGUUGUACCAUUUAGCAUUCUCCCAAUCACUGACCCUGUCUUCUUACCUAUCAUACUUUGCAAGCUCAAAAAAGUAGCAAACCAAGUUUUUUCAGAUCUCACCAAAUAUAUUUUAUUGAUGAACUUUCUCAUCAUAGUAAGUGUUUAAGGUAUGCCCAUAUAAACCCGCUUUGGCACAUAACACGCACUAUAACCCAAAUUGUAGUGCCCGCUAAUGCAACUUUUUUUCUCUCAAUAUCAGGCACUAUAGGCCCCAAUGCUAUAAGAGGCCACUAUAGUACAUAGCAUAGCAGCUUAGGUCCAAAACCACUCUAGUGGCUGCUAUGACCGUUUUUAAACAACACUUGAUAUGGUUAUUUCACUAAUGGAUGAUGUAUUAAAUUGGUCACGUACAAGACGCACCUGCAUGCUUUAUUUGACCAACUAUAAAGGAAGCCUUUGAAAGGUUUCUAGUGAAACACAUCCAAACAAGUUAUAAUUUGCAAUUUUGCAUCACAAAGAAAUUCUCCUAAUAUAUGUAACUAGUCCAUUGUAUAAUUCUAGCAAGUUUGGUUUAAGUAGCUGCUCUCGGAUGAGUACAUUUGGGAACGAAGCAUAAUAUGUUAUGUAAACUAGGUUGGGACAAGGUUAAUGUGUCAGAAUAUGUUGGGCAAGUCAGGUGCGAAUCUCCUAGUCCGAUGCCCAUGCUAUGGGCAUAGGCCAAACUAUUGUACACCAUCAGCAAGCAAAAGAUUGGAGGCUUAAGUCAAAAAUAAUAAAAAAAAUCCCAGCACAAGCCAA